rnacentral:rRNA from 1 species
UACAGAGGUCCCGAGCGUUGUUCGGAUUCAUUGGGCGUAAAGGGUGCGUAGGCGGCGGGGCAAGUCUGAUGUGAAAUCCCGGGGCUCAACCCCGGAACUGCAUUGGAUACUGCCUUGCUAGAGUACUGGAGAGGGAACUGGAAUUUACGGUGUAGCAGUGAAAUGCGUAGAUAUCGUGAGGAAGACCAGUGGCGAAGGCGGGUCUCUGGACAGUUCCUGACACUGAGGCACGAAGGCCAGGGGAGCAAACGGG